UACGUAGGGGGCAAGCGUUGUCCGGAUUUAUUGGGCGUAAAGAGCGUGUAGGCGGCUUUACAGGUCCGUUGUGAAAACUCGAGGCUCAACCUCGAGACGCCGGUGGAAACCGUAAGGCUAGAGUCCGGAAGAGGAGAGUGGAAUUCCUGGUGUAGCGGUGAAAUGCGCAGAUAUCAGGAGGAACACCCGUGGCGAAAGCGGCUCUCUGGGACGGUACUGAUGCUGAGACGCGGAAAGCGUGGGGAGCAAACAGG
rnacentral:rRNA from 1 species